UUUUGGCUUUGGAUUUUCAGACAUCUCUAAGAGAUUCUCUGGAAAACUUUGUGCAGAGAUACUUUGUUCAAGAAGAAGGGAGGUGGCAAUAAUGUCUAUAAUGUGCAGGCUGAUAAUUCAUCCUCUACGAGCUUAGGUUUGAGAGACAACACUGUGGAUCAACUAGUUCCCAAAUAUCUACCAUGAGCACUUCAGAUGACUGUUUAUCAACAUGAUCAAGUAAUGCAGAUGCUUGAUGG
rnacentral:misc_RNA from 1 species